rnacentral:rRNA from 1 species
UACGGAGGGGGCUAGCGUUGUUCGGAAUUACUGGGCGUAAAGCGCACGUAGGCGGCUUUGCAAGUUAGAGGUGAAAGCCCGGGGCUCAACCCCGGAAUUGCCUUUAAGACUGCAUCGCUUGAAUCCGGGAGAGGUGAGUGGAAUUCCGAGUGUAGAGGUGAAAUUCGUAGAUAUUCGGAAGAACACCAGUGGCGAAGGCGGCUCACUGGACCGGCAUUGACGCUGAGGUGCGAAAGCGUGGGGAGCAAACAGG